UACGUAGGGCGCAAGCGUUAUCCGGAAUUAUUGGGCGUAAAGAGCUCGUAGGCGGCUUGUCGCGUCGGAUGUGAAAGCCCGGGGCUUAACUCCGGGUCUGCAUUCGAUACGGGCAGGCUAGAGUGUGGUAGGGGAGAUCGGAAUUCCUGGUGUAGCGGUGAAAUGCGCAGAUAUCAGGAGGAACACCGGUGGCGAAGGCGGAUCUCUGGGCCAUUACUGACGCUGAGGAGCGAAAGCGUGGGGAGCGAACAGG
rnacentral:rRNA from 1 species